UUCCUUUAAGUUUUAACCAUUCCAUCUCCCUUGCUGUACCAUUCCAUUGGAGCUAGUAUUUGGAAUGAGAAAUAAAAUAGAUUUGUAGCAUGUGGGAGGUCUCUUGCAAUUCCAUAUGAUUUUGUCUUUUAAUACUUUUUUGUUUUCUUUAUUCACAAUUGCAGUACCGCCGCAAAAAUCGCGGCCUGACUCGGGCAGUGACCAGGACGACGCCGCUCAGCAACCCCAGGAAGAGGGUGAGGCUGAAGAUCCGGAUAGAGCCCCGGAAGCUCAAGAACACUGAGCUGAAAGCCGCACCCAGUCACCAGCUGUGAUUCCUGUGGUGCCCCCCAGACGUCGUGCUGCUGCCACUGCUGCUGCUGCAGCAAUUGGGGGACCACUACAGGAGGAAGGACGGCGACUGGGAGAUCAACCUGCGGCACAACCAGGGCUUGUUGACGCGAUGAUGGCUGCCAUGCAGCCUACGCUCCACCAGCAGCGCCGCCAGGAACUCUGGAUGAGGCGGUGGAUGGCCCAAAUCCAUACGGAUAUUCGGGAGACCCAGGUGACCAUCCAUCGUGGAUUCUAGGACCUGGUGGCAGCCAUGGCAGCCCAGCCUCAUUGACCAGGGGGCUCUGCUGAGGGUGAAGUCCCUGGUCCACCUGCUGCUCCCCCUCCACCCCCUGAAGCUCCUCAACAUCGGAGGGAAAGGGGGCAUGGAAGGGGACACGGUCCUGUCCGAGGGGACAAACGUCCCUAGCUCCAGUCUGUGUCAUUUUCCAUCUGACACUUGCCUCUUUGCCUAUUUUUCUCCUAGUAACAAACUUUGCCCUAUUGAUGCUUCAGGUAUCACUUUGUCCGUUACCCAGCAAAAGGACUGACUCCCAAACAACACAUCCCAUUGUUUACACUGUUCUCCAUUCUCAUCACUGAGGGGUGCCAUUUUAACAUCUAUUGGCACCCUUUCCAAUAACACCUGGAAAAGCACAUCAAAACAUCUAAGUGCAUUCGCUCUAACAUAUGUAUAUAUGUAUGGUGUUAUCAGCACCAAGGUGUGCCAUAUCUAACACCCAUUGGCGCCCUUUGCAAUAACAUCUGGAAAAGCACUUGCAAACAUCAAAAAGUGCAUUUGCUCUAACAUAUUUCUAUGGCGAUGCUGCAGUGUUGCCUAACACAUUCACUUGGCCAAAAAAUGUUACAUGUAAGGGUCAAUGAAUUCCAUUGCAAGCAUAUGACUACACUUUUUUAUGGUGUAUUUAUCACUAGUGCAGUGUUGCUUCAAAGGUUCCAUAUGCUAAUUAAGCUCUGUAUUUAUGUGGUUUACAUGUUAUGUGCAUUCAUGUAACAAUGACCUAUAUUCUGCAACUGUCAAAGUGAAAACAGUGUACCUUGUGCUUUUCACUAUGAAGUAUUGUUGGCUACCUCUGGCCUACUUUGGCUACCCAGCACUCAUAAUAUGUGCUAACGCCUACUACCUCCUCCU